rnacentral:lncRNA from 1 species
GGAGCUGCCAGCCGCAAGCCCCCAGCUCAGCUCCCAUCCCGGGGGCGGCCAGGGCGCCCCCCCCGCAGCCCGCGAGCCCCUCCGGCCUGGAAGACAAAGAAAGGCUCGGGGCCGAGCGGUGACGGGGUGGGUGGGAGCGGCGACUCGCGUGAGCCCCGGGACGUGAGAACGCAGCCCCCGCCCCCCGAGAGGCGGGGCCCCAAGGCCACCCCCGAGAAAGGUCGUCCCGCGACGCCGGCAGCGGGGUCCGGGCGCCCGCACACGCCCGGGCACAGGCGGCGGCGGCGGCGGCGGCGCGGGGGGGAGGAGCCGGCGGGCGAAGAAAGGCCGCGCGGGCGGCGGGGGCGGGGCCUGCGCGGGGGCGGGGCCGCGGGUGGGCGGGGCCUGCGCGGGGGCGGGGGCGGGGCCUGGGCGGGGCGGAGCCGGCCGCGUCCCGGGCUGCCUGAGACAGUCACUGCCCUGGCGGCGGCGGCGGCGGCGGCGGCGGCGGCGGUUGGCCGGUGGGGGCUGGGAGGAGCUCGACCGAGCUGCCGGGGCAGCUGGAACUGGCCGUCGCCGGGGGCCAAGCGGGGGAUCUGGAGCCGAGAGCGAGCCCCGGGCCGGGCGGAGGACGCGGCUGCAGCUGGAGCCCGGGGAGCGCUGGCGGCCGCGGAUUCUCGGAGGAGCAAGUGUCUGGGGCUCGGCGGCGGCGGCGGCGGCGGCGGAGGUAACCGAGGGGCGGCAGCGGCGGCACGGGCCAGGCCCCUCCUCGGCUCGGGGGCUCGGGGGCUCGGGCGCUCGGGCGCUCGGGCGCUCGGGCUGUGGCUGGGCUCGAACCUGACUCCCCGCCCGCGCCUCUGCAGCCCUUCGGCCGCAGACCCCGCUUCUCCCCCUGGUUCUGCCCCGGGGGGUCGGGCGGGGGCGGCGACCCCUCCUGGGAUCCGCGAGGACGUCGGGCACCCCUCCCCCCCCAGACACACCCCAAAAUCUCGGGGCGGGGCGGGGUGUUGGGGCGUUCCCAGCCCUCUGGAAGGGAAGAGGUGCGUGGCCUCCCCGAGGUGGCCCCCCUGCGGCUCCUGGCGGCCGCGCCAUCCCGAGGUGGUUCCCGUCCCUGGGAAUCCCGGAGUUCCUUUUGUCUGUCAGCUGGAAGCAGAGGCCGGAGCCGUAGGCACCCCCCUCCCGCGCCCCCCAGCCCCGAAGCGCCCCGCUCCUCCCCGGCAGCCUUUUCUCGGGCCACUGCCGUAG